rnacentral:misc_RNA from 1 species
UACGGAGGGGGUUAGCGUUGUCCGGAAUUACUGGGCGUAAAGCGCGCGUAGGCGGGCUAUCAAGUUGGGGGUGAAAUCCCGGGGCUCAACCCCGGAACUGCCUCCAGAACUUCUGGUCUGGAGUUCGAGAGAGGUGAGUGGAAUUCCGAGUGUAGAGGUGAAAUUCGUAGAUAUUCGGAGGAACACCAGUGGCGAAGGCGGCUCACUGGCUCGAUACUGACGCUGAGGUGCGAAAGUGUGGGGAGCAAACAGG